rnacentral:rRNA from 1 species
CAGUCGCCGCGGGAAUACGGAGGGGGCUAGCGUUGUUCGGAAUUGCUGGGCGUAAAGCGUACGUAGGCGGCUUUGUAAGUUAGAGGUGAAAGCCCGGGGCUCAACCCCGGAAUUGCCUUUAAGACUGCAUCGCUUGAAUCGCGGAGAGGUGAGUGGAAUUCCGAGUGUAGAGGUGAAAUUCUUAGAUAUUCGGAAGAACACCAGUGGCGAAGGCGGCUCACUGGACGCGUAUUGACGCUGAGGUACGAAAGCGUGGGGAGCAAACAGGAUUAGAUACCCCUGUAGUCCCUGUCUCUUAUAC